rnacentral:rRNA from 1 species
GACAGAGGUGCCAAGCGUUAGGCGGAAUCACUGGGCUUAAAGCGUGUGUAGGCGGGUGCCUAAGUACCUUGUGAAAUCCCACGGCUCACCCGUGGAACUGCUUGGUAUACUGGUUGUCUUGAGCCUUCUAGGGGCGAGUGGAACAAAUGGUGGAGCGGUGAAAUGCGUAGAUAUCAUUUGGAACGCCAAUGGUGAAAACAACUCGCUGGGGAAGUGCUGACGCUGAGACACGAAAGCCAGGGGAGCGAACGGG